rnacentral:misc_RNA from 1 species
UACGUAGGUGGCAAGCGUUGUCCGGAAUUAUUGGGCGUAAAGCGCGCGCAGGCGGUCCUUUAAGUCUGAUGUGAAAGCCCACGGCUCAACCGUGGAGGGUCAUUGGAAACUGGAGGACUUGAGUGCAGAAGAGGAAAGUGGAAUUCCAUGUGUAGCGGUGAAAUGCGUAGAGAUGUGGAGGAACACCAGUGGCGAAGGCGACUUUCUGGGACGAUCCUGACGCUGAGGCGCGAAAGCGUGGGGAGCAAACAGG